CGGGAGGCAGCAGUGGGGAAUUUUCCGCAAUGGGCGAAAGCCUGACGGAGCAAUACCGCGUGAGGGAGGACGGCCUAUGGGUUGUAAACCUCUUUUUUCAGGGAGGAAUUUUGACGUGUACCUGAAGAAUAAGCAUCGGCUAACUCCGUGCCAGCAGCCGCGGUAAGACGGAGGAUGCAAGUGUUAUCCGGAAUCACUGGGCGUAAAGCGUCUGUAGGUGGUUGAACAAGUCAACUGUUAAAUCUUGAGGCUCAACUUCAAAAUCGCAGUCGAAACUGUUUGACUAGAGUAUAGUAGGGGUAAAGGGAAUUUCCAGUGGAGCGGUGAAAUGCGUAGAUAUUGGAAAGAACACCGAUGGCGAAGGCACUUUACUGGGCUAUUACUGACACUCAGAGACGAAAGCUAGGGUAGCAAAUGGGAUUAGAUACCCCAGUAGUCCUAGCCGUAAACAAUGGAUACUAGAUGUUGAACAGAUCGACCUGUGCAGUAUCAAAGCUAACGCGUUAAGUAUCCCGCCUGGGAAGUAUGCUCGCAAGAGUGAAACUCAAAGGAAUUG
rnacentral:rRNA from 1 species